UCGCAUCCUGGGGCUGAAGCAGGUCCCAAGGGUUGGUCUGUUCGCCCAUUAAAGCGGUACGUGAGCUGGGUUUAGAACGUCGUGAGACAGUUCGGUCCCUAUCCACCAUGGGCGUAAGGUAUUUGAGGAGAGCUGUUCUUAGUACGAGAGGACCGGAAUGGACGAACCGCUGGUGAACCGGUUGUGGCGCCAGCCGCAAAAGCCGGGUAGCUAUGUUCGGAAAGGAUAACCGCUGAAAGCAUCUAAGUGGGAAGCCUCCUUCAAGACGAGAUACCUGAUUCCGAAAGGAAGUAAGAUGUCCGGAAGACGACCGGAUAGAUAGGCCGGGGGUGUAAGCGUAGAGAUGCGUUGAGCUGACCGGUACUAAUACAUCGAGCCUUUUUUCUCC
rnacentral:rRNA from 1 species